rnacentral:lncRNA from 1 species
UAUCAUAUAGCUUAUCUACACUUCCAGACUGAUGAUUUUGGGGCUCAUUUCCUAUUGUUCAUGACAACUUCUUAAUGUAUGCACAGACAUAAUCCUCUGUCUAUCCUUUCAUUGUGCUGAAGUGGAGAAAGUGUGGAGAACUGAUGUGGUUAUUGUUGUGGUACUACAAGAGAAGGGACACUGUGGCUUGCCUGUGGUGGAAUGCUGAGGCCAAGAUGAGCAAAGUGGAGACUAGGGAAGAUGAGCCACACAAACUGCUGACUUCUGUAUUUUUUUUCGGAUGAAAAUAAUGUCUCUGUUUCUUGCAUAUUUACAGAGGAGGAAAUGGGUUCCUACAUUUUGUCUUCAGAACAAGAUAAAACUAACCACAAAAAUCAAACUCUUCUUCUCUUGAGCAGUUCUCUCAAGAGUAAACAACUCAAUAAAAAUAACUUCUUGUUUCUUUGCUUUUCUAACAUCCCUGGAGAGGAAGACAGCAAAACAGAAUACUCGUUCAUUGAUCUCCAGUUCAAUUCCCAAUUUCCCACCUUCAGACAAGUAAUUAAAGAUAUGUUUUUAGCAGCUUAUGCUAUAAAGUGGAAUCACUAAACCUGUGAGUCACUGUCAGUUACAUCCAUUCCUAAGCUGAGUGAAAAGACAUGGG